rnacentral:rRNA from 1 species
UACGAAGGGUGCAAGCGUUACUCGGAAUUACUGGGCGUAAAGCGUGCGUAGGUGGUGCGUUAAGUCUGUCGUGAAAGCCCCGGGCUCAACCUGGGAAUUGCGAUGGAGACUGCAAGGCUAGAAUCUGGCAGAGGGGGGUAGAAUUCCACGUGUAGCAGUGAAAUGCGUAGAGAUGUGGAGGAACACCGAUGGCGAAGGCAGCCCCCUGGGUCAAGAUUGACGCUCAUGCACGAAAGCGUGGGGAGCAAACAGG